rnacentral:tRNA from 1 species
AAUUAUUUGGCCGAACGUUUAGGUGGGUAUCUUGAAAAUACCUUAAAAUAGUUUAACUCUAUUAAUAAUUU